GGGGGAAACCCUGACGCAGCAACGCCGCGUGAGUGAUGAAGGCCUUCGGGUCGUAAAGCUCUGUCAGAGGGGAAGAAGUGUGUGGGUGCUAAUAUCAUCCGCACUUGACGGUACCCUCAAAGGAAGCACCGGCUAACUCCGUGCCAGCAGCCGCGGUAAUACGGAGGGUGCGAGCGUUGUUCGGAAUUAUUGGGCGUAAAGCGCGUGUAGGCGGUCUGAUAAGUCUGAUGUGAAAGCCCCGGGCUCAACCUGGGAAGUGCAUUGGAAACUGUCAGACUUGAAUACGGGAGAGGGCAGUGGAAUUCCUAGUGUAGGAGUGAAAUCCGUAGAUAUUAGGAGGAACACCGGUGGCGAAGGCGGCUGCCUGGACCGAUAUUGACGCUGAGACGCGAAAGCGUGGGGAGCAAACAGGAUUAGAUACCCUGGUAGUCCACGCCGUAAACGAUGAGUACUAGGUGUUGCGGGUAUUGACCCCUGCAGUGCCGCAGCUAACGCAUUAAGUACUCCGCCUGGGAAGUACGGUCGCAAGACUAAAACUCA
rnacentral:rRNA from 1 species